rnacentral:misc_RNA from 1 species
AACGCAAAUUGCACUCUCUGGCAACCCGGAGAGUAUGCCUGUUUGAGGGUCAGUGUUAAUAAAAAUCGGUGCGUUGCAAUUUUUUUUGUGAUGUUUCCGGAGUUUGAGUUAUCUUAACUCUUCUGGGUUUUAAGUGGCUUAAAAUUGACCUUUUUUGUGCAUUUUAGACGUACAUAAUUUUUUUUUAUUCGUCCAUCUUAAUGCCAAAAUCUAUUAGAUGCGACCAUAUCAUGUGGUUUCGUGUCCAUAAAUUUUUCAUGAUUUGACCUCAAAUCAGGUAGGAACACCCGCUGAACUUAA